GACGAACGCUGGCGGCGUGCUUAACACAUGCAAGUCGAACGGAAAGGCCCUGCUUUUGUGGGGUGCUCGAGUGGCGAACGGAUGAGUAACACGUGAGUAACCUGCCCUUGACUUUGGGAUAACUUCAGGAAACUGGGGCUAAUACCGGAUAGGAGCUCCUGCUGCAUGGUGGGGGUUGGAAAGUUUCGGCGGUUGGGGAUGGACUCGCGGCUUAUCAGCUUGUUGGUGGGGUAGUGGCUUACCAAGGCUUUGACGGGUAGCCGGCCUGAGAGGGUGACCGGCCACAUUGGGACUGAGAUACGGCCCAGACUCCUACGGGAGGCAGCAGUGGGGAAUAUUGCACAAUGGGCGGAAGCCUGAUGCAGCAACGCCGCGUGCGGGAUGACGGCCUUCGGGUUGUAAACCGCUUUCGCCUGUGACGAAGCGUGAGUGACGGUAAUGGGUAAAGAAGCACCGGCUAACUACGUGCUAGCAGCCGCGGUGAUACGUAGGGUGCGAGCGUUGUCCGGAUUUAUUGGGCGUAAAGGGCUCGUAGGUGGUUGAUCGCGUCGGAAGUGUAAUCUUGGGGCUUAACCCUGAGCGUGCUUUCGAUACGGGUUGACUUGAGGAAGGUAGGGGAGAAUGGAAUUCCUGGUGGAGCGGUGGAAUGCGCAGAUAUCAGGAGGAACACCAGUGGCGAAGGCGGUUCUCUGGGCCUUUCCUGACGCUGAGGAGCGAAAGCGUGGGGAGCGAACAGGCUUAGAUACCCUGGUAGUCCACGCUGUAAACGGUGGGUACUAGGUGUGGGGUCCAUUCCACGGGUUCCGUGCCGUAGCUAACGCUUUAAGUACCCCGCCUGGGGAGUACGGCCGCAAGGCUAAAACUCAAAGGAAUUGACGGGGCCCCGCACAAGCGGCGGAGCAUGCGGAUUAAUUCGAUGCAACGCGUAGAACCUUACCUGGGUUUGACAUGGAUCGGGAGUGCUCAGAGAUGGGUGUGCCUCUUUUGGGGUCGGUUCACAGGUGGUGCAUGGCUGUAGUCAGCUCGUGUCGUGAGAUGUUGGGUUAAGUCCCGCAACGAGCGCAACCCUUGUUCACUGUUGCCAGCACGUUAUGGUGGGGACUCAGUGGAGACCGCCGGGGUCAACUCGGAGGAAGGUGGGGAUGACGUCAAGUCAUCAUGCCCCUUAUGUCCAGGGCUUCACGCAUGCUACAAUGGCUGGUACAGAGAGUGGCGAGCCUGUGAGGGUGAGCGAAUCUCGGAAAGCCGGUCUCAGUUCGGAUUGGGGUCUGCAACUCGACCUCAUGAAGUCGGAGUCGCUAGUAAUCGCAGAUCAGCAACGCUGCGGUGAAUACGUUCCCGGG
rnacentral:rRNA from 1 species